CUACAAAUCUAUAAAUCCUGGGAAACUCUAAAUAAAGAUACAGUACUAGAUCCCCUUUGAACUUGGAUGUUAAGCAGGGUUAGCAUGGGUUAGUACUUGGAUGGGAGACCGUCAACAAAAAUCGGGUGAUGUAGG
rnacentral:rRNA from 11 species